rnacentral:rRNA from 1 species
AUCAUGCCCCUUAUGUCUUGGGCUUCACGCAUGCUACAAUGGCCGGUACAAAGGGCUGCGAUACCGUAAGGUGGAGCGAAUCCCAAAAAGCCGGUCUCAGUUCGGAUUGAGGUCUGCAACUCGACCUCAUGAAGUCGGAGUCGCUAGUAAUCGCAGAUCAGCAACGCUGCGGUGAAUACGUUCCC